AGAUUUCACUAUGUAAAAUUUAUUUAUAUAUAUAUAUUUUAAAAAGUAUAACACUGGAGCCUAAAACCAUUCUCUUUUGUAGAAUACAUAUUGGCAUUGAAACAGUUUAAAGAAAUGAAAUGGCUAUCUACAAAAAGUUAGUUUUGAUUGUUGUAUUCCCCCCAUACUUUAUGUGUCUUCACACAUAAAGAAAAUUUUCAAACAUUUUAUAUUCAGCAAUUUUUUAAAAAGUGUACUGUUUUCUACUGCUAUAGUCUUUAUAAAGGACUUGACUUAAAACUUCAAAUAAAAAAGAAUUAAGGUUCUAGGAUAACUCUGUGUCUUUUAAGAGCAUCUUUAUACAGAACAAUUUGGACCGGCAUGCAGGCAACAUCUUUUGUUGUUACAUACCUGUAUUAGGAAAAUUACACCCAUUUCACAUAAAAAUCCCAAAACAUAUACUGCAAUAAGCUCAAAACAAUGUGAAAAAGACCAGUGUGAAUGGCACACACAAAUCGCUUCUUUAUAAAUUAACUGGAAUUCCUGAUCAUGAAGUAGGCACAGGGAAAUCCAGUCAAUAGGGCUUUGCUCUCUGGAAGAACACCUUUAAGUAAUUUUUUAAAACUUUAGCAUCAGGCUGCUGAAGCGCUUGACAAAACUCCUGAAUUAUUUCUGGAGCUACUUGCAAGGAGGGCAGGUAUUCUUGUUGAAGAUACUGAACACAUUCUGGGCCCCAUUUGAGAUGAAUUGUUUUCAGUGUCACUGCACACUCAGAUAAAGCCAAUACUGUUUGUGCAUCUGCCAGGUCAAAGGUUUGUUUUAAAGGUGCUAGGAAACAUGAGGGGACAAUGUGCUUAUAAACAAAAUCAGCAAAUCCCACUGGUCCAUCUUUACCUCUCCAGAGUUCCACCAACUUUGAGAGGAUGAUAAAACAUGUUUUCUGUGCAAUUGGAUCUGGAUAUUCAACUGCUCCUUGGGUAACAGUAACCAGCACUCUACAUUUUGUGCAGCUUGAUUUGCUAUAACUUCACUCAUCCCACUGCCUGUGACUGUUUGCAGGAAAGCAAAGUAACUCCUCCACAACAUCUGCUUCUCUAAAGCAGCAGACUAGUCAUUUUCUUCCGCUGGCUGGAGCAGCACUUCAAAAAUUGCAUGAAGCAGGGGCAUGAACAUCUGUUGUAAAAACGGAGAUACCUGUCUCUUGAAUUUGGCCGUAAUCUGGUUGAUAAGAAGAAUGAACUCCUGGAGGUCUUCUGCUUCACAAUCUUUGAGCAUACGUUCUGAAGCAGCUGGGAUGAACGGAAAAACUUCUUCCCCCAGGCAAAUAACCAUUCGAUGAAGGAAAGUACGGACUCCACUUCUGAGAAUAUCCUUUUGUAAGGGACAACUGAGGGCUGGCAGGAAUGUCUGUAAACAGUCCAGACAAACUUCAGAACAGCCACAUUGUUUUAUAGUCUGCUUGUUGCUGAAAGCUUUACUGGUUGGACUUGCAAAUCCAACAGCAUGGUUGAGACAGUCUGCUAGAGAGGCUUGCCUAUCUUCAUCUUGUGCCAGCAUCAACUAUUCUAACAGAAUUUUAAACUUCUCCAUUAGUGGAGUCAACAGAUUCCUCACCAAGGCUUGUUUCCUUUCUGCCAGGUAUUCACUAUUAACAGUCAGCACUCCAGCUGUCUCAUAAAUAAAAAGUUGAUCAUCGCUGCCCAGUAAAGACUGGUGGCCAUUCUCAGGUGGAGAAAGCUCUAAUAAAUCUUGUAUUCUAUUCAAAAUAUCCUCAGUGAGAGGAUUCAUUUGCUUAUUGAGAGAUUUGACAAAUCUAGAAAACAGGUAAGCCAUCCUGCUCCGAACUUUUGCACUGGAAUGCCGCAGACUUCUGUGAUCUAAGAAAGCCAUUAGUACACGUGGAAUGUGCUGAGGUUCAACUGUGAAAAACUUUUCAUAUCUAACAACAUUUUUGAAGAACUCCAACGUCACAGAUGUAUGCUGAUAGGAACUGACUCUUGAUGUUACCAGAAUUCUCAUCAUAUCCUGCAAAGCACUGGCUUUUGAAACAUCACCUGCAAAUGGAACACCGUGAGAUACUAGAAGAGCUUCUGCCAACAUAUACACAAUCUUAUUGCUACUUCAACUUCCAUAAACCAUGUAGUCUGCCAAUCCUGC
rnacentral:lncRNA from 1 species